rnacentral:lncRNA from 1 species
AAGAUUUUGAUGGAGAAAAGCUAAAGACAAAGUGGCGUAGCUAAUAUUCACAUGUUUAACACCCAGCUUAAUUCUCUCUCUUUCCCCCUCUCUCUCUUACAUGCACACACACACAAACACACACAUCUUCCUACACAAAAAAAUCCGUAAUUAUCAUAUGCCCUUGAGAGUACAAAAUUCUGGUUUUCAGGUAGGAAGAGGACAUUUCUGUUUGAUAAUGAUUUGGAUAAAAUAUGUUUCCAAAGUCGUCAUUUCUGAAAUCUACUUAGGCCUCUUAGCCUACUAAACAAUCUUGAUAAAUUAUCAAUGACCAAGAGAGUCAUUAUAUAUUUGCUCUCAAGCAAAAGUAAAUUUAAUCAGCUGAUUUCAAACAGAGCCAGCUUAGACCAGGAAAAAUAAAGAUCACUCUUUUAAUACAUGUCCUGCAGGGCCUGCGUUGGCAAUCUCUCCCAUGCAUGGCCUCAAAUGCCAUCUAAAUUUCACUAACUUCCAAAUGUAUACCUUCUAGCCAGACCAUGUCCCUGAUCUCUAGAGCAAUCUACAUAUUGUCAACUCAACUUCAUCAUGUAGAUGUUUUAAAACCAGUCGCAACUCAAUAAAUCCCCAACUGUAUGUUAUCAGUGUUUAACAUUUUAACAUUUACUGUUAAAAUAUCACUAUUACUGGAACUACUAAAUAUGGCUGAAAAUGUCUAUGACUGAUAUUGUCUCUUUAAAAUAGCAUUAUUAUUCCUAGCAUUAUUUGGACUAUAUAAACACUUGGUUAAUGAAAAAGGGACACCAC